CAGCUUCUACUGGUGAACUCUGUCUGAGCAGUUUCCUCCUGUUUCAAUAGGGCCACACUGGAGCCUGGUCUUGGGAAAAGACCCGAUUAAAAAUGUGCAAACUCAUCAGAUGUUAGAAGAAUCUAGAAGGCAAGAGCAUAAAUUUGCCACGUGAAGUUCUGUCCUAACGAGCAGGUCAACCAGGACUGUCCAAGCGGACCCAACAGUUCAGAAUAGUGAACAGUGUCUGGCGAAGAAGGCACACCGGCCCGGGCUUCCUAAACACAAAAGUAACAACUUACAUUAACUCCUGUAACACGGCAAAAUUUAGGCACUCAUUAAAAACCUUGAUAAUAUAAAAAGCCAUUUUAUCCUGGACAUGACAAUAGAGCUGAGUUUUUCUAUGAAGUACUUCAGGCACGUUCAACUCAUUCAUUUGAUCAGCAAGUAUGUAUUGUCUGUUACCUUCAAUACAGAAUGCUACUCGGCAAGUGAUGGAAUUCUUGCCGCAUAGCAUUGAGCACAUGAGUAAAGAUGGGGGGAAAGAAAAGGCAAGAGAGUUACUGGGCAUCUUCAAAACAACCUUUCCAUUUACGCAAUUCCUUCUUUCAAGAACUGAGGUAGAAUAAUGAAAACAGAGCGAUGUCUAGGAUUCCGAGAAGAAAGCUCACUGAGCUCACCGAAAUGACUCCGCCGCAUCUUAAAAUAUAUGACUGUGAUCACGGCUGUGCUAAGGAGAUGUCAGGAGGUACAGAAUUAGAUGGAAAAGAACAAGAAGCGCUAUUAAGAAUCACUAUGAAGAAAUGAAGAUAAAUCUAAAGCGAUGUGAUGGACCGGAAAACUCUGUCACCCAGGACAGAGAGGAGGUAAGGACUGAAGCUGGCAACAAUUCGGCUAACCGGAAGGGAGCUCACGGAGCCCCGCCUGGCUGUCCUGGCUGCUUCCGCGCUUUUCCUAAGACC